rnacentral:rRNA from 1 species
AUUGAACGCUGGCGGCAUGCUUUACACAUGCAAGUCGAACGGCAGCGCGGGCUUCGGCCUGGCGGCGAGUGGCGAACGGGUGAGUAAUGCAUCGGAACGUGCCCAGUAGUGGGGGAUAGCCCGGCGAAAGCCGGAUUAAUACCGCAUACGACCUGAGGGUGAAAGCGGGGGACCGAAAGGCCUCGCGCUAUUGGAGCGGCCGAUGUCGGAUUAGCUAGUUGGUGGGGUAAAGGCUUACCAAGGCGACGAUCCGUAGCUGGUCUGAGAGGACGACCAGCCACCUGGGGCCUGGGCACCGGCCCGACCCCCUCCGGGGGCAGCAGUGGGGAAUUUUGGACAAUGGGGGCAACCCUGAUCCAGCCAUGCCGCGUGCGGGAAGAAGGCCUUCGGGUUGUAAACCGCUUUUGUUCGGGAAGAAAUCCUCUGGGCUAAUACCCCGGGGGGAUGACGGUACCGGAAGAAUAAGCACCGGCUAACUACGUG